AACGAACGCUGGCGGCAUGCCUAACACAUGCAAGUCGAACGAAGCCUUCGGGCUUAGUGGCGCACGGGUGCGUAACGCGUGGGAAUCUGCCCUCAGGUACGGAAUAACUCAGGGAAACUUGAGCUAAUACCGUAUAAUGACUUCGGUCCAAAGAUUUAUCGCCUGAGGAUGAGCCCGCGUCGGAUUAGCUAGUUGGUGAGGUAAAAGCUCACCAAGGCGACGAUCCGUAGCUGGUCUGAGAGGAUGAUCAGCCACACUGGGACUGAGACACGGCCCAGACUCCUACGGGAGGCAGCAGUGGGGAAUAUUGGACAAUGGGCGAAAGCCUGAUCCAGCAAUGCCGCGUGAGUGAUGAAGGCCUUAGGGUUGUAAAGCUCUUUUACCCGGGAUGAUAAUGACAGUACCGGGAGAAUAAGCCCCGGCUAACUCCGUGCCAGCCGCCGCA
rnacentral:rRNA from 1 species